UGCUGAGCCAUCCCACCAGCCCCCAAUUUACCUGUCUAAAGUGUACAGGGUAUGUUUCUGACAAUAGCGUAAGGUAGUAUAACCUUUGCCCAAGUCAAGACACAGAACAUUUCGUCACCCUGAGAAGUUGCUUCACAAAUUCACCGUGACCUUCGCCCCUCCCCCAAGUCAUGGGGCAACAACCGAUCUGAUAUUCGGUCUUUAUCCUUUUGCUUUUUUUGUAAAAUAAUGAGGAACAGACAUUCUCAGUGGGAGCUACAGCCAAAUACCGGAAUAGGGAUUUUCACCGGCAAGUAGGCAAGAGCUCUGAGCAAGACAUGGCUAUGCUGUAGAACAUGUAAGGUAAGACGGAGCUUCGGAGCUGAGGUCUGGGGGUCAGCAAUCGGCCACACGACUGGCUCACCCAGGACCUCAUUUUCAUAGCUCAAAGAUUGAGGAGGUGGCAGAGAAAACAGUUCAAGCAAGGGGGCUCUUUGCAAGCUUCAUGUGGCCUUUGUCCUCACCAGAGCCACUUUGUGACUCCCUGCCCCAGACCAGUCAGUGACAGGAUCCAAUUUGCAUUCUGGAAGGAUUAUUCCACUCACUAGGAAACAGAGGCAGGGAAGAGUUGGAGGCCUGAAGUGAGACUGGUAGCCUCAGCCACGGCUGUGGUGGGCAGGAGUAGUCAGAUACAGUCGGCCUUUAGGAGGUAGGGUUCCAGGACUUAGUAGGAUGGUGGAGGAGGAGGUGACAGAAAAAGGCUUAAGAUGGUUCCCUUGUUUCUAGAUUGGAUGUUUGUUUGAACAUAAAAAUGGCGGCAUCAUUGAAGGGACACUGCAGCUGAAGCCGUCUGGCAGUGUGGAAGUGGAGACGUGGGUUCUGGAAUGCAGCUAAGGGGCAAUGUCCAGUGGACAGUUGGAUGUGCCAGUCUAGAUCUCAGAGAAGAGAUUCCAUUCUCUGUGAACUAACUUCUAGGUUCUCCUGUAGCCUGAUAGAAAACCAAAGGAUUUGUCCCAUCCAGAGGAACUUUUCUCCUUACCCGUUUUCUUCCCCCCUUUCCCCCCUCGCCUUUUCUGUAGAAAAGGAUUGAUUCUCUGUGUAGCUGUGGCUGUAGACCACGCUGGCUUCAAACUCAGGGAUCUGUCAGUCUCUGCCCUACAAGUUCUGGGAUCAAAGGUGCGCCCCACCUGGCCACCUGGCCAAGAGGAACUUCUUUCAUUAAGUAGAAUCUUCUUCCUAAAUUGUUUGUUCUAGAAAGAGCUAGUUUCAUGUUACGAACCUUUCGGAAUCCUGGGAAAGGGCUCUGGGCUUUCGAUACAUUUUGAUACAAUAUAGCGCAUCUACUAAGCACCUGUGAGAUGAGGAGGGAGCCAGGCUGGCAGCUUUCUAGUUGCUCGUUGUUCAGAAGCGCUGAUGUUCCUCACUUUGUGAUAUUGACACUGUGCUUUGUGCAUUUAUAAAAUCAAGGCUGGAGGAGGUCUCAGCACAUGGUCUACAACCAAGGAAUAGUCUACGAUCAACGACUAAUUUCCCUUUCUCUUUGAAGCAGAAAGGUAUUAAGGGAGCUGUGUCUGUGCUCUCCAGAGAGGCAGAGUAACAGAGCACACGUGAAACUAUUAGAGACUGCCUCGUCAAUGUGGAGACCAAGAAGCCCUCCAGUCUGCUGUCUGCAGGAUGAAGAACAAGGAAGACCAGGGGUGUGAACCCCAGUGUGAGCCUGAGGGCUCUCAAGUCAGGACUGAUGUUUAAAGACGGGGAGAGAGGGGUUCCCUGGCUCAAACAGAUGGUAAAACUCACCCUUUCUCCACAUCUUUUGUGCAGUUUGUUUCUUCAAUGAAUUAGAUCAUGUCCAACUACACUCCAAAGACCCUUAUUCUUCGUUCAGUCUACAAAUUUAAGUGUUAAGGACUUCCAGAGACAUUUGUAGCAAACACAGAAAAUAGUCGUUUCUCAGUCUAUCUGGGUAUUCUGCACCUUAGCCAAAGGAAACCAUGAAAAACCAUCUUGGCUUUGUUUUUAUUAUAAAAAGACUAACUGGAGAGACCUAGUCCAGGCUGUGCCUGGCUGUGGGGAAGAGAAGGACAGGGAGGCAGACGACACCCUGUCUUGGUUAAGAGAGCCACAUGGAGGGAAAAGCCAAAUCAUCACUCUCCAGGGCCAAGGAAGCCAGAGGUUUCUUUUAGAAAUUCCAUCCGAAAGAAGCUAGAUGUGGAAUUCUGCAGGCCACAUCAUACUUCUCAGGGAUCCUCACGUAAAAUUUAACAGCCUAUUUCUUUGUCAUUCCCACAGAUGUUGGUGAGAGGGAUAUCUCUGUCACUAUAACAAAACGCACAAGACAAUCAACUUACAAAGAGGAAAGGUUUUCCACCUCAUCGUCUUAAAGGUUCCACUCCAUAACCAGGAAGACGAAUUUCUGGCAAGGUUGCAGGAGGCAAAGCCUGCUCUUAAGUGUGUAUGAGCAAUCACACCGUGGCCAGAAGCAAAGGAGAAGAGAGUGGGCACCACAUAGAGCAUGUGUGCCUCUUCUGGGGGGCACACAUCCAGUGAUCUAGGACUUCUCUGCUACAUCCCACCUCACCCCACAAUAGCCUUGCCUGACGAGCAUGCCUUCAACACAUGGGUCUGUGGUGGUACAUCAAAUCCAAAGUGUAGCAAGGGCCAGGUAGACUCACAACAUACAGGCCAUGUUCUCUUUGCCACAUGGUGAAGUGAAUCACAGAACAUCUUUUGAAUAGGAACUUUCACCUUCUAUUUUAUCAGCAGGAAUCUGGGCAGCCAGGAUUCAUCCAGUUGUUGGGCAGCCCACCAAAGUCUCAUCUUAAUGACCUGUGUUUAAGACAAACCUCUCAGAAUGAGGCCGUGGCUCACAAGCCUUUGCCUUGCAGGAUUGGGACCCUGAGUCCCAUCCCCAUUCUACCCUGCACAGCCCUAACAGUCAUAACCCAAUGAAAACCUCUGUCUCCCACACCCUCCAUGACUAACGACACGGGACACUCAACUAUAAAAAGCAUCAAGUGCAGACAGUCAUUUUGACUCUCUAGAACACUAAGCUAAUUAAUGCACCCUUGACUCUUCCUCCGUUCCCGUUAGGCUGACACUCGGGGCCAGCCCUCCUGUUUACUAGUUCUCUGAGAGGAAAUUUUUAGGAAAACGUUGCUUUUAGUACAACCUCGGUCACAUUCUUCUCACGUUGGUUGCUGCAUAGUCUGAAGGGGUUACGUCAAGGGGAAUUUGACACCCACCCUUCUCAUUUGCUCUUUGAUUUGCACACUCAUCAAAAGACUCGGGCCAUUUGAUACCUCACAAGAUGAUUCCUCCUAUAGCAGACACUGAGGGAAGGGGGAGUCACCUGGCCCCAGCAUCUGCUAACUGUGUUCUGUUCCUAUUUCAACUGUUGACUCGAUAAAUGCCCUUGGGCAAGUCACUGAACCCCUCCAUGUUUAGUCUCUGGGGAAUGAAAUCUGCCAACUGUAUUUUGUGGGUUUGAACCUCGCUGCCCUCUGGGAUAAAAAUAGGAGAGGACCAGGUGUCAGCUGGUCCCAAACUGAUGUAAGGACAGCGGCCAUGGGAUCUCAAAGAUGUCCUUGAGCUAUAAAUUCUAUAAUAGGAACCCAAACACGGGGGCCUCCGGCAUUUGGUUUGUGUGAUGAAUCCCCGCCCUUGAAACUUUUCCAGCCUGGCAAAAACUGGCAUUAACCUUCCACUCUUGAAUCUCUUGAAUCCUCUGCCUCGCCCUGCCCCCACUUCUCAGUAUUUCUCCCGCCAAGGUACUCAACCCUGAUCGCUGUUGCUUUUCACAAAGCUCUUGGACUGCAAACUUCCUGAGGGAGGAGAACACACCAGCCUGAGGCUUCAUUUUCAAGGACACACCAGGCAAGCGGGCACCCUACGUGAACGUUUGGCCAGACGGACGAGUGAAUGAACGCUGCCCAGGCCCCAGAGAACAUUCCACUCCCCCGCCUGAUGAUCAUCUAUUCGUGGCCAUGAUAAGAUGUGGAACAACAGUUUCAAGAGCAGAUGUCAACACCAGAACCAGAAUCAUCCAGAUUCAUGACCGAAUGUCUGGAACAUAUCCUCCCAGGAUGAGACGCGUAUCCACUGGUUCUUGGUAUAUUAAGUGUGCAUCACCUGUUUUCCUGCCUGUUUGGCUUCCAUGAAACCCCUGGAUACAACACAUACAUAGCCUACUGCUGCUGACUUCUGUAGCCAUCUUGCCUUCCUUCCUGGCUACCUCUAUGAACAACAGGUUCCCUUGACUUACUCACUGUCUGUCUGUCUGUCUGUCUGUCUGUCUGUCUUUUUUCUUUCUCUUUCUUUCUGUCUGUCCGUCUGUCUGUC
rnacentral:sRNA from 1 species